rnacentral:rRNA from 1 species
AGCGAACGCUGGCGGCAGGCCUAACACAUGCAAGUCGAACGAAGUCUUCGGACUUAGUGGCGGACGGGUGAGUAACACGUGGGAACGUGCCUUUAGGUUCGGAAUAACUCAGGGAAACUUGUGCUAAUACCGAAUGUGCCCUUCGGGGGCAAGAUUUAUCGCCUUUAGAGCGGCCCGCGUCUGAUUAGCUAGUUGGUGAGGUAAAGGCUAACCAAGGCGACGAUCAGUAGCUGGUCUGAGAGGAUGAUCAGCCACAUUGGGACUGAGCACACGGCCCAAACUCCUACGGGGGGCAGCAGUGGGGAAUCUUGCGCAAUGGGCGAAAGCCUGACGCAGCCAUGCCGCGUGAAUGAUGAAGGUCUUAGGAUUGUAAAAUUCUUUCACCGGGGACGAUAAUGACGGUACCCGGAGAAGAAGCCCCGGCUAACUUCGUGCCAGCCGCCGCCGUAAGAC